CCUACGGGCGGCAGCAGUGAGGAAUAUUGGUCAAUGGCCGCAGGGCUGAACCAGCCAAGUCGCGUGAGGGAUGACGGUCCUAUGGAUUGUAAACCUCUUUUGUCAGGGAGCAAAGGGCGCCACGUGUGGCGUUUUGCGAGUACCUGAAGAAAAAGCAUCGGCUAACUCCGUGCCAGCAGCCGCGGUAAAACGGAGGAUGCGAGCGUUAUCCGGAUUUAUUGGGGUUACAGGGUGCGCAGGCGGAAUGUCAAGUCAACGGGAAAAUUUCGGGGCACAACCCCGUCGUGCCUUUGAAACUGGCGUUCUUGAGUGAGCGAGAAGGAUGCGGAAUGCGUGGUGUAGCGGUGAAAUGCGUAGAGAUCACGCAGAACACCGAUGGCGAAGGCAGCAUACCGGCGCACAACUGACGCUCAUGCGCGAAAGCGUGGGUAUCGAACAGGAUUAGAUACCCGGGUAGUC
rnacentral:rRNA from 1 species